rnacentral:rRNA from 1 species
UACGGAGGAUGCGAGCGUUAUCCGGAUUUAUUGGGUUUAAAGGGUGCGCAGGCGGGGGAUUAAGUCGGCGGUGAAAUUUUGCAGCUCAACUGUAAAAGUGCCUUCGAAACUGGUUUCCUUGAGUGUAGAUGAAGUAGGCGGAAUUUGUGGUGUAGCGGUGAAAUGCAUAGAUAUCACGAGGAGCUCCGAUUGCGCAGGCAGCUUACUAAACUACUACUGACGCUCAGGCACGAAGGCGUGGGGAUCAAACAGGAUUAGAUACCCCCGUA